UUGACCUCGGAUCAGGUAGGGAUACCCGCUGAACUUAAGCAUAUCAUA
rnacentral:rRNA from 33 species